rnacentral:misc_RNA from 1 species
UGGCUCUGCUAUAGACCUCACUACAUGCUUAGAUCUAUUUACUUGCGUAACUGUGAAUGUUGCAAAGUUCUCCCACCUCUGGGAAAACUUCAAUUCCUUGAAAGCCUUACUAUUGAAAAUAUGACGUUAUUGGUAGUAGUCUUCCCUUCUUUAGUUGAUCUUGGCGUGUUUCCGUCACUCAAGUCAUUAGUUUUUUCUACAAUGCCUCAAUUGAUUGGUUGGGGUUCUGGUGAAUAUGA